GUAGGUGGCAAGCGUUGUCCGGAAUUAUUGGGCGUAAAGCGCGCGCAGGUGGGUUCUUUAAGUCUGAUGUGAAAGCCCCCGGGCUCAACCGGGGAGGGUCAUUGGAAACUGGGGAACUUGAGUGUAGGAGAGGAAAGUGGAAUUCCACGUGUAGCGGUGAAAUGCGUAGAUAUGUGGAGGAACACCAGUGGCGAAGGCGACUUUCUGGCCUGUAACUGACACUGAGGCGCGAAAGCGUGGGGAGCAAACAGGAUUAGAUACCCUGGUAGUCCACGCCGUAAACGAUGAGUGCUAAGUGUUGGGGGGUUUCCGCCCCUCAGUGCUGCAGCUAACGCAUUAAGCACUCCGCCUGGGGAGUACGGUCGCAAAGACUG
rnacentral:rRNA from 1 species